CGGGACGUAGCACAGCUUGGUAGUGCACUUGGUUAGGGACCAAGGGGUCAUGGGUUCAAAUCCCAUCGUUCCGACCA
rnacentral:tRNA from 1 species